GUGGGGAAUUUUGGACAAUGGGGGAAACCCUGAUCCAGCGACGCCGCGUGAAGGAUGAAGGCCUUCGGGUUGUAAACUUCUUUUGGAGGGGACGAAUAAAUUGACGGUACCCUCAGAAAAAGCCACGGCUAACUACGUGCCAGCAGCCGCGGUAAUACGUAGGUGGCGAGCGUUACUCGGAAUUACUAGGCGUAAAGCGUAUGUAGGCGGUUGUAUAAGUCUAUGGUGAAAUUUCCUGGCUCAACUGGGAAGGGACAUAGAUACUGUAUGGGUUGAGUGGUGGAGGGGGAGACGGAAUUCCUGGUGUAGCGGUGAAAUGCGUAGAUAUCAGGAGGAACACCGAUGGCGAAAGCAGUCUCCUGGCCAAAUACUGACGCUGAGGUACGAAAGCUAGGGUAGCAAACAGGAUUAGAUACCCCGGUAGUCC
rnacentral:rRNA from 1 species